rnacentral:rRNA from 1 species
UACAGAGGGUGCAAGCGUUAAUCGGAAUUACUGGGCGUAAAGCGUGCGUAGACGGUUAUGUAAGUCAGAUGUGAAAGCCCCGGGCUUAACCUGGGAAUGGCAUUUGAGACUGCAUAGCUAGGGUGCGGAAGAGGGAAGCGGAAUUUCCGGUGUAGCGGUGAAAUGCGUAGAUAUCGGAAGGAACAUCAGUGGCGAAAGCGACUUCCUGGACCAAUACUGACGCUCAUGUGCGAAAGCGUGGGGAGCAAACAGG